CCGACUAAUUCUAAAUCACCUAAGGUCAACAACGUGUGCUCCACGAUCUUCAAAAUCUCAACUUUGGACGAUCUAUUUUAGCUCAUCCAUAGCUGAGUUAAGCUCUUCACCCACAGAUCUACCUCUCUCUCUUAAAUUGAAAAAGUCCAGAUAAAAAAAAUUCCUCCAUGCUUAAAUCUCUUGCAAAAGAAAAUAACUUCUCCGAAUCAAUCGGUACGUCAAAUACGAAAGCAAUCACGACUCCGAGAC
rnacentral:lncRNA from 1 species